rnacentral:rRNA from 1 species
GACGAACGCUGGCGGCGUGCUUAACACAUGCAAGUCGAACGCUGAAGACCUGGCUUUUGUUGGGUUGGAUGAGUGGCGAACGGGUGAGUAACACGUGAGUAACCUGCCCUCUUCUUUGGGAUAACGCCCGGAAACGGGUGCUAAUACUGGAUAUUCACUGGCCUUCGCAUGGGGGUUGGUGGAAAGGUUUGUUCUGGUGGGGGAUGGGCUCGCGGCCUAUCAGCUUGUUGGUGGGGUGAUGGCCUACCAAGGCUUUGACGGGUAGCCGGCCUGAGAGGGUGACCGGUCACAUUGGGACUGAGAUACGGCCCAGACUCCUACGGGAGGCAGCAGUGGGGAAUAGUGCACAAUGGGCGAAAGCCUGAUGCAGCGACGCCGCGUGAGGGAUGGAGGCCUUCGGGUUGUAAACCUCUUUCGCUCAUGGUCAAGCCGCAACUGUGGGUUGUGGUGAGGGUAGUGGGUAAAGAAGCGCCGGCUAACUACGUG